rnacentral:lncRNA from 1 species
GGCAGCACAUGUAUCAGUCCAGUGUUGAAAACACAAUGAACAUCCUCCUCAUCAAGUGGAAACGGCUCCCUAGGAGCACUCUCAUGAGAUGGAGGAGGAACCUUACUGUUCUCAACAUGGAAAUCAACAGGAGGAUCAUAAUCAUAGGCAUAGGCAGAAAAACAGUAUCCACAUAACCAAAAUAGGUAGACAUGGGAAAGAAGGGGGAAAAGAAGAAUGCAAUGAAAAUUUGCAACUAAAGCUACCUAAAUGCAACACACAAUGACGAACACACAAAACAGAACAUCACACUCACAACACAAGACAAAACACAACACACACUAACACAACAAAAGACCUAAAACUGAACCGUUGGUCCCCGGCAACGGCGCCAAAAUUUGAUGUAUGUCGCAGCCCAUGCAAAUUUAUUGAGCAUAAAGAAAUGCAGUAUAGACUAGGAAGUAACUCCUAGGUCGUCUCUCAAGGACCAAAUGUGGUUCGAGAAUUAGGUCAGACCCGAAGUGGGGGGGGGGGUUUGUGAAAAGUUUUGUGAAUGUGGAUGAAUAAAAUUAAAAUACGAAUGCAAACAGAAAUGCAAACACAAAAGUAAAGACGGAAUCAAAUACAGAAUGAAAACGGUUGGUCAUUA